rfam:Oryza sativa (indica cultivar-group) chromosome 12, whole genome shotgun sequence.
AAUAAGUGCAGUUUUGCACUAUUCACGUUCAACGUUUAACCGUUCGUCUUAUUUAAAACUUUUUUAUGAUUAGUAUUUUUAUUGCUAUUAGAUGAUAAAACAUAAAUAGUACUUUAUGUGUGACUAAAUAUUUUCAUUUUUUUCAUAAUUUUUUCAAAUAAGACGGACGGUCAAAUGUUGGGCACGGAUAUAUCCACGGCUACACUUAUU